ensembl:lncRNA
AGAUGACACUCCUGUUCUGACUAAAUCUGCCAAAGCUUCUGUGGCAUUGAUGGUUAUAUCACUUGUUCUGGUUUUUCUACUUUGUUUUGGAUUUUCUUGGAGGAGACGAGAUGAAAAAAAGAAAUCUUUAAACAUCUCAGGGAUUAUUUUGCCUCCUCGUGUGAUUGUGGGCCAGAAGGGAAGAGUCACCAUAAGCAUUGAAGGAAGGAGGGUCGACCGAGUCCAAACCUCAUGGUUUCUCAAUGACACCCCCAUCUUUGACACCUCCAUUACAGAUCUCCAUCCAUAAGGGGGCAGUCUUCAAGUGCCAGGUGUCUUAUGUUGGAAAAGACAAGAUAGUGGAAGAAAAGGUGUCAGAGAAAUUCACCAUUCUCUCUGAACCCGACGUUUCUGAAAUCCAACUGGCAGAGACACCAAAUGAUCCAGAUGUGAUCAGCCUGACAGUGCGAGCUUCACAUUUCCAUCCAGACGUCAUCACUUUCCGCUGGUUCUGUCAAGGGGGUGAGCUGAGCCCCGUGGCCUCCCAGGCAUCGUCCUCCCCUCGGCCCAACUCUGAAGGCUUCUUCUCAGCCUACAGUCAAUGCAAACUUCCCCGCUCCGAGCUGGAGAAGGGCAGCACCAAAGUGUGGGUCAGUGUCCAUCACAUUGCACUGAAGCAGCCUGUAACACGCGAGACAAGAGGCUUCAUAAAAAGACCAUGUGUGUCCGAAAUCAUCAGUACCACUAACACAGACCAAAGUGUAACCCUGGGAUGUGAAAUCUCCGACUUCUACCCUCCAAAUGUGUCUGUGUCGUGGCUGAAAAUGAGGGAAGGCCUGCAGGAUGACCGGGAGGAAGAGCUGGUCAAAGGAGGAGAGUUAUUUGGUCCUUUGCAAACUCAUCCUCACCUUUACAAAGCCACAGCCACUCUGAGAAGACCCCCCAGUCUAGACAAACAGCAGAGAGAAGCAGGCAUCAUCUGCAGAGUAGAGCAUUGUUCACUGCCAGAGCCCAUCGAGAGACUGUGGAGAAAUGUGGACUCUGGGGCUCCAUACAUACCUCCAUCCAUUUCUGUGUGUUGGAGCAGUGAAGGCGUGGGGGUUUUCUCUCUCCUCCUGAAAGGUGGACAUCCCAAAGCCAAGUUGGUCUGGGCAGCAGGGGGCGCUACACUCUUGCCUCUGGAGUCUAGUGAAACAGAGGACAUUGGAGAUAAUGGGCAGAGGGAGCUGAAAAGUGUGUGUGCUCUGGAAAGGUCCACAGGUCCACUGAGGCUGCCAGAAAAGGAGAAGCACAGAAAUGGACACGCAAUAAAAACUAAAGCAGCUGUCACAGACCCCUACACUGAAGGCAUUCAGUACAUUGAUGAGAAAAUCGAUGGAGAAAACAAUAACAUAAGUCAAGACGAAGACACAAAAUCCAUUUCAGAUGAGGACAGCGAUAAAGACGAGCAGGACCCAGGCGCCUUGCACAUCAACAGAGUGAGCCUGACCCACAG